CAAUAGCGUAUAUUAAAGUUGUUGCGGUUAAAAAGCUCGUAGUUGGAUUUCUGCUGAGAACGACCGGUCCGCCCUUUGGGUGUGUAUCUGGCUCUUUCUUGGCAUCUUCUUGGUGAACGUUGCUGCACUUGACUGUGUGGAGCGCUACCCAGGACUUUUACUUUGAGGAAAUUAGAGUGUUUCAAGCAGGCAUACGCCUUGAAUACAUUAGCAUGGAAUAAUAAGAUAGGACCUCGGUUCUAUUUUGUUGGUUUCUAGAGCUGAGGUAAUGAUUAAUAGGGAUAGUUGGGGGCAUUCGUAUUUAACUGUCAGAGGUGAAAUUCUUGGAUUUGUUAAAGACGGACUACUGCGAANGNAUUUGCNAAGGAUGUCUNCAUUG
rnacentral:rRNA from 1 species